UACAGAGGUCUCAAGCGUUGUUCGGAUUCAUUGGGCGUAAAGGGUGCGUAGGCGGCGCGGUAAGUCGGGUGUGAAAUCUCGGGGCUUAACUCCGAAACUGCAUUCGAUACUGCCGUGCUUGAGGACUGGAGAGGAGACUGGAAUUUACGGUGUAGCGGUGAAACGCGUAGAUAUCGUAAGGAAGACCAGUGGCGAAGGCGGGUCUCUGGACAGUUCCUGACGCUGAGGCACGAAGGCCAGGGGAGCAAACGGG
rnacentral:rRNA from 1 species